AUGAACGCUGGCGGCGUGCUUAACACAUGCAAGUCGAACGGAAAGGCCCAAGCUUGCUUGGGUACUCGAGUGGCGAACGGGUGAGUAACACGUGGGUGAUCUGCCCUGCACUUCGGGAUAAGCCUGGGAAACUGGGUCUAAUACCGGAUAGGACGAUGGUUUGGAUGCCAUUGUGGAAAGUUUUUUCGGUGUGGGAUGAGCUCGCGGCCUAUCAGCUUGUUGGUGGGGUAAUGGCCUACCAAGGCGUCGACGGGUAGCCGGCCUGGGAGGGUGUACGGCCACAUUGGGACUGGGAUACGGACCAGGCUCCUACGGGGGGCGGCAGUGGGGAAUAUUGCACAAUGGGGGCAGGCCUGAUGCAGCGACGCCGCGUGGGGGAUGACGGCCUUCGGGUUGUAAACUCCUUUCGCUAGGGACGAAGCGUUUUUGUGACGGUACCUGGAGAAGAAGCACCGGCUAACUACGUG
rnacentral:rRNA from 1 species